rnacentral:rRNA from 1 species
UACGUAGGGUGCAAGCGUUGUCCGGAAUUAUUGGGCGUAAAGAGCUCGUAGGCGGUCUGUCGCGUCUGCUGUGAAAACUCGGGGCUUAACCCCGGUUCUGCAUUCGAUACGGGCUGGCUAGAGUGUGGUAGGGGAGAUCGGAAUUCCUGGUGUAGCGGUGAAAUGCGCAGAUAUCAGGAGGAACACCGAUGGCGAAGGCAGGUCUCUGGGCCAUAACUGACGCUGAGAAGCGAAAGCAUGGGGAGCGAACAGG